UAGCAUGGAGUUGUAUCCUCCUUUUUUUCUGAGGAUUUUGUUUUUAUUUCGAUAUUUUCAAAUGCAGUUCAAUCCGAGAGAGGAUCUAGAGUAUAGCAGUCAUAAAAAUUUGAAGUGCAGCACCUGCACCCCAUCAUAUCAUUACAACCCACUCGGAAAAUUACGCAACUUACAGCGUAGAUGCGACCCGUCAUUAUAACAGCGCUUCGUAAUCUGUCAGAAAUUCACCGGAAUUGGAUUAGCUAGGCCACAGGUCCUCUUUUAAAUUCCCGCGCUUUUAAUUGCCUCCUUUAGUUACCAUUUCAUACACCAACAGUGCUUCAUGUGGACACAUGUGCCUCAAAACUCCCAUUUCUUCGGCCAAUCCUUUGAUAAUCACAUUUAGGGCCUCUCUACAGAAUAAAAAGGGAAAAAAAUUUUCGGUCACACUUUGGCGAUGAUACUAGGUCAAUUUCGUUUUCAACGAGUCUCUGACCCAUGGUGAGGCAUUCCCCUGAUACGACCUAUAAACACAAUACGAGAUCACGGAUAGCUAGUUUUGAUCAACUCAUGUUAUAACCCAUUUACUAUGGUCGCGGAAGCCCUACAGAGAACUUCUCAAUCGACCUAAACCUGACCAUCGUGUAUAGUCCGUUCACGACGCGUUUAUCUCAAAAUACAAAUGCCAAGAGAUGAUCAAUUUACCUGUGCGCAAAAAAUUCUUGAUUGAUGAAAAACCCGAAAGUGCCCAUUGAUAUAUAUAAUGUCCCUUACGAUUGAGUACAAAAAGGGACACCUUAGGUGAGAGCAUCUCAUGUACAAACACCCCCCCUUCCACACACACACACCUCAUGUGUUAUAUAUUACAUGCAUUGAGAUAGGUUAUCCCCACUACCUUUUGGGAUUGGCGGCUGGUACAACUAAUAAAUUGCCAAUGCCCGACUGAAUGCGUAUUCUAAAAAUAGCGCAAGAAGCCAAGUGCCAAGAAAACCCUAAAUAAGCUUAAAAUGACUUUGUUCUCCUCAAAGAAACAGUCUCCUGUACCUACUAGUUAGUAGUACAUUUGACAAGAUCCCAAAAGAGCCAAAGGGGGAAAAGAAAAAAUAUGUAUAUUCACAUAUAUAUAUAUAUAUAUAUAAACAAUUUUGCCCUAGAUUAUCCCAACUUACCACGUUACUUUUAUACUCUAAAAUGAUAGUAUGAGCUCCGCGUGCUCAGCCAAUGUGCGUGGGUUCGAAUCCCACAGGGGACAACAUUACAUCCGGAGCCAACUUCUCAGCUCCUAAAAUAAUGGGAUGUGAACUUGUCAAGUAGGUACCUUCGGGCGGACCUACUACCUGAUUUAGCUUAUUGUUUCUGGGCCGGAAACCUAUAUUGCAUGUACCAAAUCCUGUCUUUCAUUAAUUUUCCUAUGUGAUUGUUAUAUUCUUGGCGCUGUUCAACACUAAGCAUUCCUCCGGUAUACUGUAUAACCAACUCUUGCCUGUAUUUAACAUCACACAAGGACUCGUCAUAAGCGCUGCUUGCAAGAAUCAAUCAUCAUCCCUAAUACCAGAAUGCAGUUCAGCGAACAUCACUAACCAUUGGCCCAUCUGGGCGACGAUGAAUCAAUCCCUUCCUUACACCAUGUCUCACUCUUCAGCCCGCCUUUUGGAAUACACGUCUUUCAUUCGUCUCAGCAAAGAAAUAUAUCGUCCACUUUGCGAUACUGGUGAUGGGCCGCGAAGGGCUAACUGCGUUAGAAAUUUCUCUAAGGGUUGGCUGUCGAGAUUAGUAGAAAACCCACAACCCCCAUCUAUCUAAAUCCGAGUUAAGUCUAUAUGGAGAGAUAAGAAAAAGAGAGAGAAAAAAAAAUAUAUCAAAAACUAAACAACCCGCUCCUCUUUUUACCGAACGGAUAGACCACCAAAGCAGCCAUGAACAACCCCCCAGAAAUCCCGAUCGCCACCUCCAACAUCCCAUACCCAAUAUCAAACGCCACAUUUCCCAAAAACCUGCUCAUAACCAACUCCUCCAUCACAUAUUUCACGUCUUCCACAGACCCCCCAGUCGAAUUCGCCAACAAGUCAGCUGCUAGCUCGCCCAGCGGCCGCGACGAGGACCCAUUCUUCCUGAUCUGCGUUGCAAUGAUUAGACUUGAUACCAGGCUACCACUGGACGCCAAGCCUGAAGGCAGCUGUAUGAAAAUAGCCGGUAGGAUGGCGGCAGCGGCCAGCCCCUGGCCCAGCCGACUAUACAAAUUGCCAAUCAUGCCAAUUGCCAAGGCGCCAAGGGCGCUGGAGAUCUGGGUGGAUGUGAACUGGCGUCCGGCGAAGAAGAGGACAACAUAUCCGGCGGUAGCAAUGAAGACCAUGACUGGGAUCUGUUUAGGUUUUGCUUGGUUGAUGAGGGAGGAACAGAUGGCGAAGGCGACCACGAAGGGGAAGCGUUGCAGGUACUCGUUUUGGAUGGGGCUGGGUGGACAGGCAAAUGCGAUUGAGGCAUUGCUGUCGAGAAGACCGUAGACAGCGGUGCCGAUCACGAUGCCGAAGCCAAGGAAAAGGGAGUAGAUAAUGGCAUAGACCAGGCGGACGGAGCCGGCGAUAAUAUUGCGCGAUUGCAAUGCCAGUGCGCCGCACAAGACGAUAUAACCUGGAAGAAUCAGACAUAUCGAAGACUGAGCCAAUGCCGAGAAGCAGAAGAGGGGUUCUCCGUUUGAAGUCCUUAUGCUUCCGAAUGCUCGAGCAAAGAAUGAGGUGAUGACAGCAGCGGACACUUCGAAGAUGUUGGCAUAAUUCGAUGACCGGGGUAUUAGGACAUGCUGUAAUACAGCAAGUACACAUCCUAGAAUAAAGCAAAUGGG
rnacentral:sRNA from 1 species